UAAAUACUAAUACCAGAUCGAUAGUGCACAAGUACCGUGAGGGAAAGGUGAAAAGAACUGAGGUGAUCAGAGUGAAAUAGAACCUGAAACCAUUUGCUUACAAUCAUUCAGAGCCCUAUGUAGCAAUACAGGGUGAUGGACUGCCUUUUGCAUAAUGAGCCUGCGAGUUGUGGUGUCUGGCAAGGUUAAGCAAACGCGAAGCCGUAGCGAAAGCGAGUCUGAAUAGGGCGCUUAGUCAGAUGCUGCAGACCCGAAACGAAGUGAUCUAUCCAUGAGCAAGUUGAAGCUAGUGUAAGAACUAGUGGAGGACUGAACCCAUAGGCGUUGAAAAGCCCCGGGAUGACUUGUGGAUAGGGGUGAAAGGCCAAUCAAACUUCGUGAUAGCUGGUUCUCUCCGAAAUAUAUUUAGGUAUAGCGUUGUGUCGUAAUAUAAGGGGGUAGAGCACUGAAUGGGCUAGGGCAUACACCAAUGUACCAAACCCUAUCAAACUCCGAAUACCUUAUAUGUAAUCACAGCAGUCAGGCGGCGAGUGAUAAAAUCCGUCGUCAAGAGGGAAACAACCCAGACUACCAGCUAAGGUCCCUAAAUCUUACUUAAGUGGAAAACGAUGUGAAGUUACUUAAACAACCAGGAGGUUGGCUUAGAAGCAGCCAUCCUUUAAAGAAAGCGUAAUAGCUCACUGGUCUAGUGAUUUUGCGCGGAAAAUAUAACGGGGCUAAAGUAAGUACCGAAGCUGUAGACUUGCGCACAACUUAGAUUAUUUAAGUUUAGAAUAUGAGAAACUAAGUUAUAUGUUUAGUUAUAUUUUUACUGAUUUUUAUAGAGUAAAGAUAGAAAUAAAACUUAGUAAAAUCAGUAAAAAUAUUCUUAGACUAAAGUUAAGUAGUUUAAGUUGUGUGCAAGUGGUAGGAGAGCGUUCUAUUUGCGUCGAAGGUAUACCGGUAAGGAGUGCUGGAGCGAAUAGAAGUGAGCAUGCAGGCAUGAGUAGCGAUAAUUAAUGUGAGAAUCAUUAACGCCGUAAACCCAAGGUUUCCUACGCGAUGCUCGUCAUCGUAGGGUUAGUCGGGUCCUAAGUCGAGUCCGAAAGGGGUAGACGAUGGCAAAUUGGUUAAUAUUCCAAUACCAACAUUAGUGUGCGAUGGAAGGACGCUUAGGGCUAAGGGGGCUAGCGGAUGGAAGUGCUAGUCUAAGGUCGUAGGAGGUUAUACAGGCAAAUCCGUAUAACAAUACUCCGAGAACUGAAAGGCUUUUUGAAGUCUUCGGAUGGAUAGAAGAACCCCUGAUGCCGUCGAGCCAAGAAAAGUUUCUAAGUUUAGCUAAUGUUGCCCGUACCGUAAACCGACACAGGUGGGUGGGAUGAGUAUUCUAAGGCGCGUGGAAGAACUCUCUUUAAGGAACUCUGCAAAAUAGCACCGUAUCUUCGGUAUAAGGUGUGGUUCGCUUCGUAUUAGGAUUUACUCCGAAAGCGAAGAAACUUACAACAAAGAGUCCCUCCCGACUGUUUACCAAAAACACAGCACUCUGCUAACUCGUAAGAGGAUGUAUAGGGUGUGACGCCUGCCCGGUGCUCGAAGGUUAAUUGAUGGGGUUAGCAUUAGCGAAGCUCUUGAUCGAAGCCCGAGUAAACGGCGGCCGUAACUAUAACGGUCCUAAGGUAGCGAAAUUCCUUGUCGGUUAAAUACCGACCUGCAUGAAUGGCGUAACGAGAUGGGAGCUGUCUCAAAGAGGGAUCCAGUGAAAUUGUAGUGGAGGUGAAAAUUCCUCCUACCCGCGGCAAGACGGAAAGACCCCGUGGACCUU
rnacentral:rRNA from 1 species